GGGUCGGAAAGUCUCGUCAUGUGACUCGCGAGAAAUAACGUGAAAUCGUACUUCCGGGCAGUUGUCAGGAUGGCAUUAUCAAUAAUGUACUAGACUCGCUACGUUCAAAACCACAUAGAGCUUACUACAAAAAGCGAUAGAGCGGUGGAUAACAACUGGGUUGAGAAUAUAUGUUCUAGAUAGAGCUCUGAGUUAUUACAAAGGUUGUCCAAGCGUCAAUACGAGACAUUUUCCAACAAAGUACAGAUAUAAAAGGGCAAACAACACAGCUGGAUAAAGCAUCUUAAGUCUGGACUUCGUAAAGCUAUGACAAUGAGAGAAAUGUAUCCACCCAGGCAAUCAGAAUAUAGAGUGCAGCUCAAAGAGAGCCAUAGUUAUUGGCAUCAAGUUUUCCAUCAGCUUUACCUCACAGGCACCACUUGUGAUUUCAUAGUUUGAACACCAAUGAACAUGGAAGUGAUUCCCAUCCUUUGAGAUGAAUUAUGGGAAUUAUACUUGGCAUACAUGAUUGAGUCUUUGUGCCCUCUCCGCAAUAACCAACUAGACAGACUUGUGAAAAUUCAAAUGUCUUCCAUUAGUUUUAUUUUGUUUUUGCUACAAUUGAUCAGUGUAAAGAUGUGCAUGAAUCACCAUUGUAACAAUUUCUUUGACUAGCAACCUUAAAUAAAUGUUCACUUUAUCA